ACCCUGAAACCCUAGAUCUGGUUCCUUCAAUUGGUAUCAGAGCUUAGGUUCUUUAUUACAUGAUUAUUUAUAUAUGCUUAGAUUAUUUUUUAGAUUAGAUCUAAUUUAUAAUCUGAUUAUUAAAUCUAAAAUUAAAAUUUUAGAUCAAUCACAAACUGCAAGGUUGUCCUGCUGUAAGGUUUACCCCUUACAGUGCAAAGGUUGUCCUAGUUUGUGUAGAUCUAGCUUUAAUCAUAAAUUUGUUAGAUAUGAUCUAGAUUAAAUUUAUGAUUUAUUAGAUUUAAAAGAUGUUUAAAUCUGAAAUAAAAUCUCUUUGUUAAUAAUUUUUAUGCA
rnacentral:lncRNA from 1 species